rnacentral:siRNA from 1 species
UGAAGAUGUCUGCGGUCUGCUC